GAACGCACCUUGCGCCCUUUGGUAUUCCAAAGGGCAUGCCUGUUCGAGCGUCAUUUGUACCCUCAAGCUUUGCUUGGUGUUGGGCGUCUUGUCUCUAGCUUUGCUGGAGACUCGCCUUAAAGUAAUUGGCAGCCGGCCUACUGGUUUCGGAGCGCAGCACAAGUCGCACUCUCUAUCAGCAAAGGUCUAGCAUCCAUUAAGCCUUUUUUUCAACUUUUGACCUCGGAUCAGGUAGGGAUACCCGCUGAACUUAAG
rnacentral:misc_RNA from 1 species